CCAUUCCAUUGAUUUUCAUCACUAAGCCUACUUCAUUCGAUUGGAAAAGGGCUAUGAGAUCUAAGGCGUAUGUGGGAUUCGACGGAAUGGAUGGCUCGGAAAGAAAACAAAAGAAUCAAAUACUAUUAAUUGGUUUUCUUUCCGAUGCCUUCCAUUCCAUUGAUUUUUAUCAAUAAGCCUACUUCAUUUGAUCGAAAAAGGGUUAUGAGAUUUAAGGCAUGUGUGGGAUUCAAC
rnacentral:lncRNA from 1 species